UCGAUGAUACGCGAGGAACCUUACCCGGGCUCAAACGGGAGAUGACGGCAGGAGAAAUCCUGCUUUCUUCGGACAUCUUCCGAGGUGCUGCAUGGUUGUCGUCAGCUCGUGCCGUGAGGUGUCGGCUUAAGUGCCAUAACGAGCGCAACCCCUGCGGACAGUUGCCAUCAGGUCGAGCUGGGCACUCUGUCCGGACUGCCGGCGCAAGCCGCGAGGAAGGCGGGGAUGACGUCAAAUCAGCACGGCCCUUACGUCCGGGGCGACACACGUGUUACAAUGGGCGGCACAGCGGGAAGCCAGGCGGCGACGCCGAGCGGAACCCGAAAGCCGUUCUCAGUUCGGAUCGGAGUCUGCAACCCGACUCCGUGAAGCUGGAUUCGCUAGUAAUCGCGCAUCAGCCAUGGCGCGGUGAAUACGUUCCCGGGCCUUGUACACACCGCCCG
rnacentral:rRNA from 1 species